CGUCCUCGCCAACCGACCGGCACAGCUGCUUCACCGCUCCCGUGAGCCCUGCGGAAGCGUUAUGGAACCGUGUGACGGAGCCUUUUCCACGUAAAGGGGCCGUGUGGGUGGCCUUCAGGAAGGGGCCGAGGGGUUGCCGCGCGCCCUGCGACGACGGCGUCUGGCUCCCGGCGUGGCCGAAGCGCGCGGCCUCAGGACGUGGCCGUUCACAGGAGACCCUGACCGAGAGACGGCAGCCUGGCGAUGGCAGGAACUUCCCAGAUGGCGAGGCGGCCUUCCUUGGCGCCCCAUGUGGAUCCUCCCCGCCGGGCGUCUGAGAGCUAAGUCGACGGCUACGACCCACAGAGGGGACGAAAGCGGAGUGCCAGGUCCGGACUUGUGACCUGGGAUUUUUGAGUCAGCUUUGGGGAUGGGGAGGUCCAGGCUGUGGCCCCUUAGGCCUCAUGAAGGGAGAGCCUCGUUUUUGCUCACAGUGCUGAGGUGUGCAGGACAGAGCAGUCCCGGGGUGUGUCAUGUCACUUGUCCAUCGUGCUGUCUGUG